UACAGAGGUCCCAAGCGUUGUUCGGAUUCACUGGGCGUAAAGGGUGCGUAGGCGGUCGGGUAAGUCUGAUGUGAAAUCUCACAGCUUAACUGUGAAACUGCAUUGGAUACUAUUCGGCUUGAGAGUUGGAGGGGGGACUGGAAUUCUCGGUGUAGCAGUGAAAUGCGUAGAUAUCGAGAGGAACACCAGUGGCGAAGGCGGUUCUCUGGGCCUGUACUGACGCUGAGGCACGAAAGCGUGGGGAGCAAACAGG
rnacentral:rRNA from 1 species